GAUGAACGCUGGCGGCGUGCCUAAUACAUGCAAGUCGAGCGAACAGACGAGGAGCUUGCUCCUCUGACGUUAGCGGCGGACGGGUGAGUAACACGUGGAUAACCUCCCUAUAAGACUGGGAUAACUUCGGGAAACCGGAGCUAAUACCGGAUAAUAUAUUGAACCGCAUGGUUCAAUAGUGAAAGACGGUUUUGCUGUCACGUAUAGAUGGAUCCGCGCCGCAUUAGCGAGUUGGUAAGGUAACGGCUUACCAAGGCAACGAUGCGUAGCCGACCUGAGAGGGUGAUCGGCCACACUGGAACUGAGACACGGUCCAGACUCCUACGGGAGGCAGCAGUAGGGAAUCUUCCGCAAUGGGCGAAAGCCUGACGGAGCAACGCCGCGUGAGUGAUGAAGGUCUUCGGAUCGUAAAACUCUGUUAUUAGGGAAGAACAAAUGUGUAAGUAACUAUGCACGUCUUGACGGUACCUAAUCAGAAAGCCACGGCUAACUACGUG
rnacentral:rRNA from 1 species